rnacentral:rRNA from 1 species
AUUGAACGCUGGCGGCAUGCCUAACACAUGCAAGUCGAACGGCAGCACGGGAGCUUGCUCCUGGUGGCGAGUGGCGGACGGGUGAGUAAUGCAUAGGAAUCUGCCCAGUAGCGGGGGACAACUUGGGGAAACUCAAGCUAAUACCGCAUGCGCCCUACGGGGGGAAAGCGGGGGACCUUCGGGCCUCGCACUAUUGGAUGAGCCUAUGUCAGAUUAGCUUGUUGGUGGGGUAACGGCCUACCAAGGCGACGAUCUGUAGCUGGUCUGAGAGGACGAUCAGCCACACUGGGACUGAGACACGGCCCAGACUCCUACGGGAGGCAGCAGUGGGGAAUAUUGCACAAUGGGCGAAAGCCUGAUGCAGCAAUGCCGCGUGUGUGAAGAAGGCCUGCGGGUUGUAAAGCACUUUCAGUAGGGAGGAAACAGUAGCCGGUUAAUAUCCGGUUGCCUUGACGUUACCUACAGAAGAAG